UGGAAAGGAAAGUUGGGUGUUUUAUAGCUUCUGACCUGUUGUUAGACUUUUCUCUCUUUCUCUGGUUCUUAUCAGUAUCUGUUGGCUUUUACCAAUUUCCAUGCAGUAUUGGUACAAAGUUCGGAUUUUUAUUGCAGGAUGUUCCUACUAAUUACCUACUGAAUCAUAAAUGCACUUCCUUAAGGUCAAAUCUUGAAGGACAUGGUUGGACGCACAUAUGAGGAAUGGUCAUGACCUGUUAAACAUUUUGGUACUUCUUGGUAGCAGCUUUGUAUUGGGGGUAACCAAUUGGUGGUGGUACUUUUAGGCAAAUCAAUCAGGACUGCAACUUUCUAGAAGAGGAAGGCAUCAUGGAUUACACUGUUGCUAGGAAUGCAUGUCUGUCCUGCACCUUUGAUUCGGUUAUUAAAGAUCGCAAUCCUUCAGCAUGUGUGGCAGGGUCGGAUGGUAGCAAGAGUUCUCCUUCAGACAGUCCGAAGCUGUCGCAUGGUGAUGAAGAUGUAGAAUCUGUUUCUGCUGCCGAUUCAGAAUCAUCCUCUAAUCCUCACCAACCUCCCCCCACCCCCCUAACACACGCAAACGCACAAAACAUACACAAAAAAGAAAAGGGAAUAAAAAAGAAAAAGGAAGAACAGACAAAGUACGUGCCAAUGCCCAUAUGCAUAAAUGCACAGUAUGUAGACAUACAGAUGUAUCAGCACUCCAGCAUUAGACAUACAUAUACUAGCUUUUCCUUCAAAAUCCAAGCGUGUGAUUUCUUUGCACUCACUUGAAGUGUGGUAAUGUGGUAGAUAUUUCCUCCAACGAAACCUGUGUUCGCAUAUUCCUGCAGAGCUGUGUCAUAACUUGAAUUCUUGAAACAAUCAAUAUCUUUUGCCUGUGAGCUUGAGCCUGUUAUCAGCAUUAUCAUCUAACAGAAAGAAACAUUCUGAUUUAUUGCAGGUCCGAUGUUAAAUUUGGUGUCAAAAUGCCAGCACUUAUAGUUAACACUCAAAGAAAAGAAAGCUAGAGUGCAGCAUCACUUCGAGCAGCAGGGAAGGAGGAAAACAACAAAGUUUUUCUAUAUUUUGGAAUUGUGGAUACAAUCAAGGAUGCGGCCUGCUCAAGCGCAUGGAGAAUGCUUAAAAAAUCUACGUUAUGACCCCCAGUCAAUAUCAGAAGUAAAUCCCAACGAACUUGUGUACUCAGUUUUUCCAGACAAAAAUAUCAGAUAACUUUCUUAGGAUUCAACAUUGUCUUUUUCUGAUUAAUGAGGAUGUGCCAAAUGAUGAUGCUUAUUAGAAGCUGACAAUUUUUAGUGUAAGAUACCAUUUAGGGACAUAUGCAUGACAACCAAUGGUCUACCAACCAGAGCAAUGAAAUGCCCAUAGAAAAUUAUUUUUUCCA